rnacentral:rRNA from 1 species
UACGUAGGGGGCAAGCGUUGUCCGGAAUUAUUGGGCGUAAAGAGCGCGUAGGCGGUCCGAUAAGUCGGCUGUGAAAGUCAGGGGCUCAACCCUUGAAAGCCGGCCGAUACUGUCGGACUAGAGUCCGGAAGAGGCAAGUGGAAUUCCCGGUGUAGCGGUGAAAUGCGUAGAUAUCGAGAGGAACACCUGCGGCGAAGGCGGGUUGCUGGGCUGACACUGACGCUGAGGCGCGAAAGCUAGGGGAGCGAACGGG